GGAGAGUGGAGCUACUGCUAGAGAAAGACUCACCCCCAGCAACUGUGGAGGAGGCAGUGCUAUCCCCUGCCAAGAUGAAGCUGCUGUUGCUGUGUCUGGGGCUGACCCUCGUCUGUGCCCAGCAGGAAGAAAACAAUAACACUGUGACAAGCAACUUUGAUCUGCCAAAGAUUUCAGGAGAGUGGUAUUUUGUUCUCAUAGCCUCUAACCAGAGAGAAGAGAUAGAAGAAGAUGGAAAUAUGAGGGUUUUUGUGGAACACAUUGGUUACCAGGGGGAAUCUUCUCUGACUUUUAAGUUGCAUGAAAUAUCAUGGACACAAUGUAGUUAACAUACUUGAAGUGGACUAUGAUAAUUACAUAUUUUUUAAUGACAAGAAUUUCAGGGAUGGGGAAACAUUCCAACUGAUGGAGCGCUAUGAUCGAUGUCUCUAGGCCUGAGAUGGGGGAGCAGCCUAAGCCUUCAGUAUGAAUGCUUUGUCACCUGGACUCUGAUAUCCUCCCUUCCUGGACCCCACAUCCUCUUGUGACAAGUUCUGUGACCUGGUUUCCAUCAUGUCACACACAAAGACAUCAUCCCUGCAUCUUUAGAAUCUCCCCUAACUGCAGAAGAAGACUCAGAAAUUCACCAAGGAUUAAAGUUUGCUCUAAAUUUCUGACUUUGUUACAGCCAGGGGAACUCUACAUGAAUAACACCUGACUCCACAUGAUCCAUAAAUAAAUAAUUACCCUUGCAUUCA